rnacentral:rRNA from 1 species
AGUUUGAUCAUGGCUCAGAUUGAACGCUGGCGGCAUGCCUUACACAUGCAAGUCGAACGGUAACAGGUCUUCGGAUGCUGACGAGUGGCGAACGGGUGAGUAAUACAUCGGAACGUGCCCGAUCGUGGGGGAUAACGCAGCGAAAGCUGUGCUAAUACCGCAUACGAUCUACGGAUGAAAGCGGGGGAUCGCAAGACCUCGCGCGGACGGAGCGGCCGAUGGCAGAUUAGGUAGUUGGUGGGAUAAAAGCUUACCAAGCCGACGAUCUGUAGCUGGUCUGAGAGGACGACCAGCCACACUGGGACUGAGACACGGCCCAGACUCCUACGGGAGGCAGCAGUGGGGAAUUUUGGACAAUGGGCGCAAGCCUGAUCCAGCCAUGCCGCGUGCAGGAUGAAGGCCUUCGGGUUGUAAACUGCUUUUGUACGGAACGAAAAAGCUCUCUCUAAUACAGGGGGUGAAUGACGGUACCGUAAGAAUAAGCACCGGCUAACUACGUGCCAGCAGCCGCGGUAAUACGUAGGGUGCAAGCGUUAAUCGGAAUUACUGGGCGUAAAGCGUGCGCAGGCGGUUAUGUAAGACAGAGGUGAAAUCCCCGGGCUCAACCUGGGAACUGCCUUUGUGACUGCAUAGCUGGAGUGCGGCAGAGGGGGAUGGAAUUCCGCGUGUAGCAGUGAAAUGCGUAGAUAUGCGGAGGAACACCGAUGGCGAAGGCAAUCCCCUGGGCCUGCACUGACGCUCAUGCACGAA